rnacentral:rRNA from 1 species
CCUACGGGAGGCAGCAGUGGGGAAUAUUGCUCAAUGGGCGAAACCCUGAUCCAGCGACGCCGCGUGAGUGAAGAAGUAUUUCGGUACGUAAAGCUCUAUCAGCAGGGAAGAAAAUGACGGUACCUGACUAAGAAGCCCCGGCUAACUACGUGCCAGCAGCCGCGGUAAUACGUAGGGGGCAAGCGUUAUCCGGAUUUACUGGGUGUAAAGGGAGCGUAGACGGCAGCGCAAGUCUGGAGGGAAAUCCCAUGGCUUAACCAUGGAACUGCGUUGGAAACUGUGCAGCUAGAGUGCAGGAGAGGUAAGCGGAAUUCCUAGUGUAGCGGUGAAAUGCGUAGAUAUUAGGAGGAACACCAGUGGCGAAGGCGGCUUACUGGACUGUAACUGACGUUGAGGCUCGAAAGCGUGGGGAGCAAACAGGAUUAGAUACCCUUGUAGUC